GUAUAAGCAAUCUAUACGGUGAAACUGCGAAUGGCUCAUUAAAUCAGUCAUAAUUUAUUUGAUAGUACCAUUCUACUUGGAUAACCGUGGUAAUUCUAGAGCUAAUACAUGCUAAAAACCCCGACUUCGGAAGGGGUGUAUUUAUUAGAUAAAAAACCAAUGCCCUUCGGGGCUCCUUGGUGAUUCAUGAUAACUUAACGAAUCGCAUGGCCUUGUGCCGGCGAUGGUUCAUUCAAAUUUCUGCCCUAUCAACUUUCGAUGGUAGGAUAGUGGCCUACCAUGGUUUCAACGGGUAACGGGGAAUUAGGGUUCUAUUCCGGAGAGGGAGCCUGAGAAACGGCUACCACAUCCAAGGAAGGCAGCAGGCGCGCAAAUUACCCAAUCCCGACACGGGGAGGUAGUGACAAUAAAUACUGAUGCAGAGCUCUUUUGGGUUUUGCAAUUGGAAUGAGUACAAUUUAAAUCCCUUAACGAGGAACAAUUGGAGGGCAAGUCUGGUGCCAGCAGCCGCGGUAAUUCCAGCUCCAAUAGCGUAUAUUAAAGUUGUUGCAGUUAAAAAGCUCGUAGUUGAACCUUGGGCCUGGCUGGCCGGUCCGCCUCACCGCGUGCACUGGUCCGGCCGGGCCUUUCCUUCUGGGGAGCCGCAUGCCCUUCACUGGGUGUGUCGGGGAACCAGGACUUUUACUUUGAAAAAAUUAGAGUGUUCAAAGCAGGCCUAUGCUCGAAUACAUUAGCAUGGAAUAAUAGAAUAGGACGUGUGGUUCUAUUUUGUUGGUUUCUAGGACCGCCGUAAUGAUUAAUAGGGAUAGUCGGGGGCAUCAGUAUUCAAUUGUCAGAGGUGAAAUUCUUGGAUUUAUUGAAGACUAACUACUGCGAAAGCAUUUGCCAAGGAUGUUUUCAUUAAUCAGUGAACGA
rnacentral:rRNA from 1 species